rnacentral:rRNA from 1 species
UACGUAGGACGCAAGCGUUAUCCGGAGUUACUGGGCGUAAAGCGCGUGCAGGCGGCUCGAUGCGUCUGAUGUGAAAUCUCCUCGCUCAACGGGGAGAGGCCAUUGGAAACGGUCGGGCUGGAGGGCAGUAGAGGUAGGCGGAAUUCCGGGUGGAGUGGUGAAAUGCGUAGAGAUCCGGAGGAACACCAGAGGCGAAGGCGGCCUACUGGGCUGCACCUGACGCUGAGCCGCGAAAGCUAGGGGAGCAAACGGG